rnacentral:rRNA from 1 species
GAUCCUGGGUCAGGACGAACGCUGGCGGCGUGCCUAAUACAUGCAAGUCGAGCGGACAGAUGGGAGCUUGCUCCCUGAUGUUAGCGGCGGACGGGUAAGUACACGUGGGUAACCUGCCUGUAAGCGUCUGGGAUAACUCCGGGAAACCGGGUGCCGUAUACCGGAUGCUUGUUUGAACCGCAUGGUUCAAACAUAAAAGGUGGCUUCGGCUACCACUUACAGAUGGACCCGCGGCGCAUUAGCUAGUUGGUGAGGUAACGGCUCACCAAGGCAACGAUGCGUAGCCGACCUGAGAGCGGUGAUCGGCCACACUGGGACUGAGACACGGCCCAGACUCCUACGGGAGGCUAGCAGUAGGGAAUCUUCCGCAAUGGACGAAAGUCUGACGGAGCAACGCCGCGUGAGUGAUGAAGGUUUUCGGAUCGUAAAGCUCUGUUGUUAGGGAAGAACAAGUACCGUUCGAAUAGGGCGGUACC